GGGUCGGUGGCGUAGUUGGUUAUCGCAUCUGUCUUACAUGCAACUGUUCACAGAAGGUCCUCAGUUCGAGCCUGGGUCGACUCA